UGGCAUCCGGGCACUUAACCUAGUUGGUACGGGAAAGGGCGUACCAAGGCAACGAAUUUUUAGGGGUUUUGAAAGGAUUGUUCCCCCAACUGGUACUGAGACCCGGGCCCAGAUUCCUACGGGAGGCAGCAGUGAGGAAUAUUGGUCAAUGGGCGAGAGCCUGAACCAGCCAUGCCGCGUGCAGGAUGAAUGUUCUAUGAAUUGUAAACUGCUUUUCUACAGGAAGAAACCUACUUACGUGUAAGUAGCUGCCGGUACUGUAGGAAUAAGCAUCGGCUAACUCCGUGCCAGCAGCCGCGGUAAUACGGAGGAUGCAAGCGUUAUCCGGAUUCAUUGGGUUUAAAGGGUGCGUAGGCGGAUUAUUAAGUCAGUGGUGAAAUCCUGCGGCUCAACCGUAGAACUGCCAUUGAUACUGGUAAUCUUGAAUGCAGUUGAGGUAGGCGGAAUGUGUAAUGUAGCGGUGAAAUGCUUAGAUAUUACACAGAACACCGAUUGAGAAGGCAGCUUGCUAAACUGUGAUUGACGCUGAUGCACGAAAGCGUGGGGAGCGAACAGGAUUAGAUACCCUGGUAGUCCACGCUGUAAACGAUGAUCACUCGUUGUUUGCGAUAUAUUGUAAGCGACUGAGCGAAAGCAUUAAGUGAUCCACCUGGGGAGUACGUUGGCAACAAUGAAACUCAAAGGAAUUGACGGGGGCCCGCACAAGCGGAGGAACAUGUGGUUUAAUUCGAUGAUACGCGAGGAACCUUACCUGGGUUUAAAUGUAGAUUGCAUGAGAGGGAAACUUCUCUUUCCUUCGGGACUAUUUACAAGGUGCUGCAUGGUUGUCGUCAGCUCGUGCCGUGAGGUGUCGGGUUAAGUCCCAUAACGAGCGCAACCCCUAUCGUUAGUUGCUAGCAGGUAAUGCUGAGGACUCUAACGAGACCGCCGGUGUAAACCGUGAGGAAGGUGGGGAUGACGUCAAAUCAGCACGGCCCUUAUAUCCAGGGCUACACAUGUGUUACAAUGGUCGGUACAAAGAGCAGCCACUUGGUGACAAGGCGCUAAUCUCGAAAGCCGAUCUCAGUUCGGAUCGAAGUCUGCAACUCGACUUCGUGAAGUUGGAUUCGCUAGUAAUCGCGCAUCAGCCACGGCGCGGUGAAUACGUUCCCGGGCCUUGUACACACCGCCCGUCAAGCCAUGGAAGCUGGGGGUACCUGAAGUCCGUAACCGUAAGGAGCGGCCUAAGGUAAAACUAGUGACUG
rnacentral:rRNA from 1 species